rnacentral:miRNA from 1 species
GGGGUUCCUGGUGAUGCGAUUU